rnacentral:rRNA from 1 species
ACGCUGGCGGCAUGCUUUACACAUGCAAGUCGAACGGCAGCGCGGGGCAACCUGGCGGCGAGUGGCGAACGGGUGAGUAAUAUAUCGGAACGUACCCAAGAGUGGGGGAUAACGUAGCGAAAGUUACGCUAAUACCGCAUACGAUCCAUGGAUGAAAGCAGGGGAUCUUCGGACCUUGUGCUCCUGGAGCGGCCGAUAUCUGAUUAGCUAGUUGGUGAGGUAAAGGCUCACCAAGGCGACGAUCAGUAGCUGGUCUGAGAGGACGACCAGCCACACUGGAACUGACACACGGUCCAGACUCCUACGGGAGGCAGCAGUGGGGAAUUUUGGACAAUGGGCGCAAGCCUGAUCCAGCAAUGCCGCGUGAGUGAAGAAGGCCUUCGGGUUGUAAAGCUCUUUUGUCAGGGAAGAAACGGCUGUGGCUAAUAUCCACGGCUAAUGACGGUACCUGAAGAAUAAGCACCGGCUAACUACGUGCCAGCAGCCGCGGUAAUACGUAGGGUGCAAGCGUUAAUCGGAAUUACUGGGCGUAAAGCGUGCGCAGGCGGUUUUGUAAGUUCUGACGUGAAAGCCCCCGGCCUCAACCCUGGGAAUUGCGUUGGAGACUGCAAGGCUUGAAUCUGGCAGAGGGGGGUAGAAUUCCACGUGUAGCAGUGAAAUGCGUAGAGAUGUGGAGGAACACCGAUGGCGAAGGCAGCCCCCUGGGUUCAAGAUUGACGCUCAUGCACGAAAGCGUGGGGAGCAAACAGGAUUAGAUACCCUGGUAGUCCACGCCCUAAACGAUGUCUACUAGUUGUCGGGUCUUAAUUGACUUGGUAACGCAGCUAACGCGUGAAGUAGACCGCCUGGGGAGUACGGUCGCAAGAUUAAAACUCAAAGGAAUUGACGGGGACCCGCACAAGCGGUGGAUGAUGUGGAUUAAUUCGAUGCAACGCGAAAAACCUUACCUACCCUUGACAUGUCAGGAACCUCCGAGAGAUUGGAGGGUGCUCGAAAGAGAACCUGAACACAGGUGCUGCAUGGCUGUCGUCAGCUCGUGUCGUGAGAUGUUGGGUUAAGUCCCGCAACGAGCGCAACCCUUGUCAUUAGUUGCUACGAAAGGGCACUCUAAUGAGACUGCCGGUGACAAACCGGAGGAAGGUGGGGAUGACGUCAAGUCCUCAUGGCCCUUAUGGGUAGGGCUUCACACGUCAUACAAUGGUACAUACAGAGGGCCGCCAACCCGCGAGGGGGAGCUAAUCCCAGAAAGUGUAUCGUAGUCCGGAUCGCAGUCUGCAACUCGACUGCGUGAAGUUGGAAUCGCUAGUAAUCGCGGAUCAGCAUGCCGCGGUGAAUACGUUCCCGGGUCUUGUACACACCGCCCGUCACACCAUGGGAGCGGGUUUUACCAGAAGUAGGUAGCUUAACCGCAAGGAGGGCGCUUACCACGGUAGGA